UCAAUAAGCGGAGGAAAAGAAACCAACAGGGAUUGCCCUAGUAACGGCGAGUGAAGCGGCAACAGCUCAAAUUUGAAAUCUGGCCCUCGGGUCCGAGUUGUAAUUUGUAGAGGAUGCUUUUGGCGCGGUGCCUUCCGAGUUCCCUGGAACGGGACGCCGGAGAGGGUGAGAGCCCCGUACGGUUGGACACCAAGCCUCUGUAAAGCUCCUUCGACGAGUCGAGUAGUUUGGGAAUGCUGCUCUAAAUGGGAGGUAAAUUUCUUCUAAAGCUAAAUAUUGGCCAGAGACCGAUAGCGCACAAGUAGAGUGAUCGAAAGAUGAAAAGCACUUUGAAAAGAGGGUUAAACAGCACGUGAAAUUGUUGAAAGGGAAGCGUUUGCGAUCAGACCACGGCCCGGCGGAUCAUCUGGUGUUCUCACCAGUGCACUUCGCCGGGCCGAGGCCAGCAUCGGUCUCCGCAGGGGGACAAAAGCUGGGGGAACGUAGCUCCUCCGGGAGUGUUAUAGCCCUCUGCAUAAUACCCUUGUGGGGACCGAGGACCGCGCCUUCGGGCAAGGAUGCUGGCGUAAUGGUCGUCAACGACCCGUCUUGAAACACGGACCAAGGAGUCGAACAUUUGUG
rnacentral:rRNA from 1 species